UGAAGGGAGAUAGGGGUGGGGCCGUUUUAUAGGAUUUGGGUAGGUAAAGGAAAAUUACAGUCAAAGGGGGGUUGUACUCUGGUGGGCAGGAGUGGGGGUUGCAAGGUGCUCAGUAGGGGAGUUUUUGAGCCAGGAUGAGCCAGGAAAAGGACUUUUACAAGGUAGUGUCAUCACUUAAGGCAAAGACCGGCCAUUUUCACUUCUUUUGUGGUGGAAUGUCAUCAGUUAAGGCGGGGCAGGGCAUUUUCACUUCUUUUGUGAUUCUUCAGUUACUUCAGGCCAUCUGGGCGUAUAUGUGCAAGUCCCCAGGGAUGAGAUGGCUUAGCUUGGGCUCAGAGACCUGACAUUCCUGCCUUCUUAUAUUAAUAAGAAAAAUAAAACAAAAUAGUGUUGAAGUGUUGGGGCGGCGAAAAUUUUUGGGGGUGGUAUGGAGAGAGAGAAUGGGCGAUGUUUCUCAGGGCUGCUUCAAGCGGGAUUAGGGGCGGCGUGGGAACCUAGAGUGGGAGAGAUUAAGCUGAAGGAAGAUUUUGUGGUAAGGGGUGAUAUUGUGGGACUGUUAGAAGAAACAUUCGUCAUUUAGAAUUAUUGGUGAUGGCCUGGAUACAGUUUUGUAUGAAUUGAAAAACUAAACGGAAUAAGAGAAGGAGAAAAACAGGUAUUAAAGGUCUAAGAAUUGGGAGGGCCUAGGACAUCUGAUUAGAGAGUGCCUAAGGAGAUUCAGCAUAGUCCUGCCAGCAAAGAUUAUUUAUUUCCUUUAAGAGUUAAGAGUGGCAGUUUGGGGAUAGCACCAAUAUCAGCUGUGAUGGCUUGGAGAAACAGUGUAAACCGGCAGUGUAAACAAAAGCAGGGCAUGUAUGAGUAGUUAAGAACGGUGAAUAGGAGUAUGACUAGACAGAAGACAGUAGGGAUGACAAGUUUUUUGGAGCACAGUCCAAGUUGGUCUGGUGUCUGGAAUGAGACUGGGGCCUAAUAAAAAGGAGCAUCUAUACAGGAGCUCAAAUGGGCUGUACCCUGUAGCAUUCCAAGGACAGGCCUGAAUUCUGAGAAGGGAAAGUGGUAAAAGUAUUGUCUAGUCCCUUUUAAGUUGGUGGCUGAGCUUGGUGAGGUGUAUUUUUAAAAGACUAUUAGUCUGUUCUACUUUUCCUGAAGAUGGAGGACCAUAAGGGAUAUAAAGGUUUCACUGGAUACUAAGAGCCUGAAAAAACGCUUGGCUGAUUUGACUAAUAAAGGCCGGUCUACUAUCGGACUGUACAGAGUUGGGAAGGCCAAACCGAGGAAUUAUGUCUGACAGAAGGGAAGAAAUGACAGCGGUGGCCUUCUCAGACCCUGUAGGAAAGGCCUCUACCUAUCCAGUGAAAGUGCCUACCUAGACUAGGAGGUCUUUUAGUUUUCUGACUCGGGCCAUGUGAGUAAAGUCAAUUUGCCAGUCUUGGGCAGGAGCAAAUCCUCUAGCUUGAUGUGUAGGAAAGGGAGGAGGCCUGAACAAUCCCUGAGUGGUAGUAGAAUAGCAAAUGGAACACUGAGAAGUGAUUUCAUUGAGGAUAGAUUUCCAGGAUGGAAAGGAAAUGAGAGGUUCUAAGAGACAGGCUAGCGGCUUGUAACCUACAUGGAAGAGGUUAUGAAAUGACGACAGAAUAGAAUGGGCCUGUGAGGCUGGAAGGAGAUAUUUUCCUUGGUCUAAGAACCAUUUGCCUUUCGUGGGAAGAGAUUGAUAGUUGGAAGUUUCAGCGGGGGAGUAGGUGGGAGUGACUGAUGUGAAGAGACAAACUGGCCAUGAAGGACAGAAGGUGGAAAGCUAGCUGCUUGUCUAGCCACCUUAUCAGCAUAAGCGUUGCCUAGAGCAAUGGGAUCUGAUGCCUUUUGAUGGCAUUUGCAGUGAAUAACUCCAGCUUCCUUUGGAAGUAAAGUGGCCUUGAGCAGAGUUUUUAUUAAAGAGGCAUUAACGAUGGAGGACCCUUGCAUAGUGAGGAAACCUCUUUCAGCCUAUAUAACAGCAUGGUGGUGCAGAAUAUGAAAGGCAUAUUUAGAGUCAGUAUAAAUAUUGACGCGUAGUCCCUUUGCAAGAGUGAGGGCCUGAGUUAAGGCAACUAGUUCGGCUUGCUGAGAGGUAGUGGAGGGGGGCAGGGCGGUAGCCUCAAUAGCAGAUGUGGAAGAUACUAUUGCAUAGCCUGCCUUUGCUGGUGAGUGGCGAUUAGGCCUGGUGGAACUGCCAUCAAUAAACCAAGUGUGAUCAGGGUGAGAAACAGGGAAGAAGGAAAUGUGGGGAAAUGGGGUGAACGUCAGGUAGAUCAGAGAGAUGCAGUCAUGAGGGUCAGGUGUGGUAUCCGGAAUAACGUGGGAGGCUAGAUUGAAGUUCAUGCCAGGAACAAUGGUAAUUGUGGGAGACUCAACAAACAGUGAGUACAGCUGAAGGAGCUGGGGAGCAGAAAGUAUAUGCGUCAGGUGUGAGGAAGAAAAUAGAUUUUGGAAGUUAUGAGAACUGUAGAGAGUGAGUUGAGCACAGUUUGUGAUUUUGAGGGCCUCUAAAAGUAUUAAAGCAGUGGCAGCCACUGCAAGUAGACAUGAGGGCUAGGCUAAAACAGUAAGGUCAAGUUGUUUGGGCAGAAAGGCUACAGGGUGCGGUCCUGGCUCUUGUGUAAGAAUUCUGACGGCAAUAACCAUGCCUAGGAAGGAAAGGAGUUGUUGUUUUGUAGAAGGGACUGGGGUUUGAGAGAUUAGCUGGACACAAUCAGCAGGGAGAGCACAUGUGUUUUUAUGAGAAUUAUGCUGAGAUAGGUAACGGAUGAGGAAGAAAUUUGGGCUUGACUGAAGUAAUGGGGGCUGUCUGUGAAAACUUGCGGCAGUACAGCCCAGGUAAUUUGCUGAGCCUGAUGGGUGUCAGGGUCAGUCCAAGUGAAAGCGAGGGUGCAAAUGGGAUGAGGAUGAAGGGUGCAAAGGAAUAGUAAAGAAAGCAUGUUUGAGAUCUAGAACAGAAUAAUGGAUUGUGGAGGGAGGUAUUGAGGAUAGGAGAGUAUAUGGGUUUGGCACCAAGGGGUGGAUAGGCAAAACAAUUUGGUUGAUAAGGCACAGAUCUUCAACUAACCUGUAAGCCUUGUCUGGUUUCAGGACAGGUGAAAUGGGGAGAUUGUAAGGGGAGUUUAUAGGUUUUAGAAGCCCAUGCUGUAGCAGGCGAGUGAUAACAGGCUUUAAUCCUUUUAAAUCGUAUGCUGGGAUGGGAUAUUGGUGUUGAGUGGGGUAAGGGUGAUUAGUUUUUAAUGGGAUGGUAAUGGGCAUGUGAUCAGUUGCCAGGGAAGGAGUAGAGAUGUCCCAUACUUGUGGGUUAAGGUGGGGGGAUACGAGAGGAAGACACAAAGGAGGCUUUGGGUUGGGGAGAAGGGUGGCAAUGAGAUGCAGCUGUAGUCCAGGAAUAGUCAGGGAAGCAGAUAAUUUAGUUAAAAUGUCUUGGCCUAAUAAGGGAAGUAGGCAGGUGGGGAUAAUUAAAAAAGAGUGCAUAAAAGAAUGUUUUCUAAAUUGGCACAAGAGUUGGGGAGUUUUAAGAGGUUUAGAAGCCUGGCUGUCAAUACCCACAACAGUUAUGGAGGCAAGAGAAACAGGCCCUUGAAAAGAAGGUAAUGUGGAGUGGGUAGCCUCCGUAUUGACUAAGAAGGGGAAGGACUUACCCUCCACUGUGAGAGUUAUCUAGAGCAUCUGUGAUGGUCCUGUAGGCUUCUGAGGCAAUCGGGCAGUGUCAGUCUUCAGCUGCUAAGCCGAGAAGAUCUGGGAAGGAGUCAGUCAGAGAGCCUUGGGCCAGAGUUCCAGGGGCUCUGGAAGUGGCUGCCGGACUUGGCAAGAUAGCUCUGGAAGAUAGCUCCAGCUCAGGAAGAAGACCCUGCAGCCCAUUUCCUUUCAAAAGGCAGAGAUGAACAUUUUCCCUGGCCGUCUUGAAAUACACCAAUAUGUUUGGAAAUAAAGAGACUUGGCUUCCUGGUCCUGCUCUAAGAUGGGAGCUUAAACCUAUGGAAUGUGACACCACUUUGGGCAAAAACAGAAUUCUUAGCAAAGAAAUCAUUGAUGUUAAGGUAAAUUUAUUAAAUGUGAGUGAGUUCAUCUACUUCUCAGAUAAUUAAGACAUUACUUAUGGUGAACAAGCUUAUUUAUUAGCAUGUGUUUCCUUUAUGAUAUUGCAUUAUGAAUAUAUUAUAAUUGAACAUGCAUGGCUGAACUGUUUUUGGCACAAUUGCUAGAAAUUAGUGUUUAAAUGCUCAUAUAUUUUUUUUUUGGUUUGUUUGUUUUUUAAUUGACAAAGCAUAUGUUUUCUGUGGAGCAUAUUUUAUUUUCUGUUGGGAUUUAGAUAUCAAAUCUUCAUUGCACUAAGACUAAUUUUAUUUUUUGGCAAGUGCCUACAACUUACAGAUUUACUCAUCACUAUGAUUUGAAUUAGAAACUCAGAAAAUAGAGGUGAUACCUUUACAGAGUCAUGGUAAUAGAAUAACAGCUGCCUAAACUUGGCCUGAAUACUGGAUGAUCAUUAAUUAUUACUUAAAAUAUAAAUACUUGGUGGUAAGACUGUAGUGUAUCUAUUCAGAAACUAAAUAAAGAUAGACCCAAAGUUACAACUCCUUCAAGUUACCAUGCCUGCCCUGUCAAUGAGUCAGACAUUAUGUGAAGAGAGAAACUAAAACCUCCUUAUUCUGAACUAAUUUCUCAGUCUGUUCACCAAAAGAGAUUUUGCUCUCGACUACUGACCUUCAGGCUUUAUUCUUCCAUUUCCUUCCUUACUUUGUCAUGCAAUCUCAAAGCUCAUUUCUCCAACUAUUAUCUUGGUUCCUUUGAUAAUAAUUCUACUGCUUCUUUUCUACUCAACAUUGCUUUAGGAAACAUCUCAAAUUGCUACAAUACAAAUAAAUUACUAACCAAUAAACAUGACUUCAAUAUUUUUAAGUUAUGUUAAGAGCUAGGCAGCUUCCUAUCAUACUAGGUUUUAAGGUUUCCAGUUUCUGAUUCAAUUUAGAACAGUAAAUUUGAAAACACAGAGCUUAUACAUUAAUAACUGUAUUAGUCUGUUCUCGCAUUGUUAUAAGGAACUACCUGAGACUGGGUAAUUUAUAAAGAAAAGAGGUUUAAUUAGCUCAUGGUUCUGCAGGCUGUACAGGAAGCAUGGCUGGAGGGGCCUCAGAAAAUUACAAUCAUGAUGGAAGGCAAAAAAGAAGGCGGCACCUCUUACAUGGCUGGCGCAGGAGGAAGAGAGAGCAGGCAGAGGUGCUACACACUUUUAAACAACCAGAUCUUGGGAGGGUUCACUCACUUUCACGGGAACAGCAAUGGGGAGAUCUGCCCCUGUGAUCCAAUCACUUCCCAGCAGGCCCCUCCUCCAACACUGGGGUUUACAAUUUGACAUGCGAUUUGGAUGGGGACACAAAUCCAAACCAUGUUAAUAACCCCAAAUACAUCAUUUCUAUGUUGAGAACACUGCGCCUCUAAAGUUGAAAGCAAUAUUAAAAAAUUAAUUUUUAAAAAUGCUUUUAUUGGAUUUUCAGCUACAUACAAAUAGGACUUAAAAUGCAUGCAAUUCCACUUUAAAAACCAUAAAAAAUAAAGUCCACAUGAUUUCUUAAUCACUUUCUACUUUUGCCUGUAGUUAUAAUAGAGUAUAGAAUAGUUGAAAAUAAGUGAGGAUGAUAAUGAUAAUAAUGAUGAUUUAAUAUCAUGUAGAAAUAUAAAACCUAAUGUGCUAGUUGUGGACAUUUGACACCCUGACUUUGACCAACACAUUUUGAUGGUGUCAAAGGAUGUUUUUGAAUACCCCACAAAGAACAAUCAGCCAAAUGUCUAUGAAUGCUAAACACCUAUGAGUAGCUAUUCCUCUUCUGAACUCCUAUAAACUUCAUUUGUGUCUUUAUUAUGGUACUUAUCACUUUAUUCCUUGGGAUAUAGUUACUUGUGCAACUUAGUUCCCCUAACAUAGGGGAACUUUAGGGCAUGAUAUGUAUCUGAUUCUUCUUGGAAUGCCUCCAUAACACCUAUCCCAGAAGUCAACAAAUAAGAAUGACAGAUAGUUUUAAACUUAUAUGAGCAUUCCAGAAUUAAUAUUGACAAAUUCAUAUUGGCAUGUAACAGAUUUUGGAAACAAAGUUCUAUGCACGUGGGUGUCAAAAAGAAUAAUGCACAUUUCUGAAUGAAGGAUAGCAGAUGACUUCAAAGCCACUAGCAGACUGUUUACUUUAUCUGGGAUCAAGGACCCUGCAUGGAUAAAAGGCAAAGGAAGUCAUCCACCUUGAAAAAAAAUAUUUUCUUAAAAUAGAGGUUUGGUAUCUAAAGCUCCUUUAAUUCAUAGGUUCAGCUCUAUGAAAUCAUUCUCUUUGAUGUUUAAUCAUCCCAAAUCCUAUAAUAAUAAUUUGGGGAAAAAUAGGUUGCCAUGGAAAACAGUGUGGGGUAGGGUUAUGAGUCUAGCAUUAGGAAGAUUUGACCUGGUUAUAAAAUUCAUUCAUGAAAGCACUGUGGUUAGAAUUCAUGGGAAACCACCCAGCUUUAUGCUUGCUAAAAGGAAGUAAUAGGAUAUAGAGAGAGAUGCCUUCAAACAAAGCUGUUAUAAAUCUGCAACAGACAAUUGUAACGCCUAAAUUACUUAAACGAAAGCAGAUGCUUUUACGUAUAUUAAAUUUGAGUUUUUUGUUUGUUUAUAUGUUUAUUUUAACAAAAGAAAGCAGAGACAUUGGAGGAAAGUAUACAAAUUGUUCUAGAUAUGCUUUGCUUAAGAAAAAAAAAAAUUGUAACAUGGGUGAAGAGUAGAAAUACUCCACUGCCAAUGAAUGUAAUUCCUCCGCAUUCUCUCAUUUCACUCACCUUGUCUCUCGUUUGGCCUCAGAUUUUGCAGCUCUAGCAGGGAUUGUGGUUUAUAUGAAAAAGUAGAUUUUUUCCUUUUAAAUGGACAUAUAUAUCUUCAGAUGUAAAACUUCAGAAUUUCAAAAUAUGAUAAAAUUUUGUCACUUUAUAGGUUUUGAUUUAAUUUAUUUUAAAAGUUUCACUAUUCUUUUGAUAGUAGCUGACAGAUCCAAUCCUGUUCCCAUAUGCUUUCUGCUAUUUUAAAAGAAACAGUACACAAUUGCCUCAGAGAGGCACCAUGUGUUUCCAAAGUGUGAAUCUGAAAACCAUCCAUCUGGGCAUGUUGGCAUCUUCCUGAAUCGUAUGUGAUUGAAAGAAAUAUUUUCAACAUUUUUCAAGUCUUUGACUACAUGAGAAAGAGAAUAAGGUAAAGGAGAUCUUUUUUCAUUUCCAGUUAUUGAGAAUCAAGUAUGAUCCUUAGAUUGGAAUACCUUGCCCACCCUUCUGCCUGGAUAGCCCCAAUCAUUCAUCAAGACUCAGGUCACCAGUGGCAUUCUUAGUGAAUUACUCUGUCACCCUAGCUCUUUAUUUGUCGCAUAACUAACUCUAUGCAUACUCAUAUGAAAAUGCUUAUUUACUUUGAUUAAAAUUAUUUCUUCAACUGUUGCUUCCCCUAUAAUCUAUGAGCUCCUAAAAUGAAAAGCAGAUGGUCUUUAAUGCAAUUCAAUUCAACAAAUAUUAUUACAAUGCUCCAGAUACUAAUCUAGAAGCUGCAGAGACAAUUCUGAAUAAGAAGAGAGCAUUUUUGCCCUCCAGAAUUUACAAUCUAGCUGGGCAGAGAGAAAUUGAACAAGUAAUUAGACUUAAAGAUGAUUCUUGGUGAGGAGUUAGGAUAACUGCAUCUGAAACCUCACAUAGACAAAAAUAAAGUUGAAAGUUCAAACUUACUUUAAUAUUGUUUUUAUUAAUAGUACUUUUUGUGUUGUAUGACAUAGAUAUUCAGAGUGAUUUUCUAGAUUGUUGAGAUCAUCAUACAUAUUUCUUGUGAAGCUAAGUAAUAGUCACUAAAUUAUGGGCCAGGCAUAUGGCUAGGUUUAUGUAUGUAUAUGUACACACAAGUUAUAUUAUAUAUAACUUAUAGUGAAUUUACAAGCCCUCUAUGACCAAGUUACUUUAUUUUUUGAAACUUAAAUUAAUCCUAAAAGUAAAGGUUUUUUUUUUCAAAUCAUUUAAAAAGCAGAUAAAUUAUAUUGCAUCAUUAUAGCCUCAAACACAUGGUAUCAAAAUAUGGCCACAUGUUAAUCAAUAAAACGAAUAACUUUGUGGUAAACUAAGAGACUGAGAAAUCUUGCCACUAAACAUUAAAGGCAGAGUGACUUCCAUGUUUUGAUCGUGUUAGAGUUGUCUGAGUCAUUUUAGGCUGGCCUAACAGAAUACCAAUGGACUGGGUAGCUUAAACAGCAGAAGUGUAUUUCUUGCAGUUCUGAAGACUAGGAAGUCCAAGAUGAAGGUGCUGGCAGAUCUGGUGUCUGGUGAGGGCCCUUUUCCCUCUGGUGAGGGUUUGUAGAUGACUGCCUUCUCGUUGGAUUCUCACAUGGUGGACAGCAGAGAGAGAAGAAGCAAGCUCUCUUGUGUCUUUUAUAAAGAUGUUAAGCCCAUUCAUAGAGGCUCCACCCUUUUGACCUAAUAAUCUCCCAAAGGUGCAACCUCCUAAUACUGAUAUUUUGGAAGUUAAUAUAUCAACAUAUGAGUUUUGGAGAGACAUAAACAUUCAGUCCAUGGCAGGGUGCAUAACUGGUUCCAUUGUUCAAAGAAAAAUUCAGUAAAAAUAAAAAAUAAUAAUUCCAUCAGAUCUUGGUUAAGUUGAUUGUCACAGAAUUUGGUUCAUUAAUAAAAUAACCUGUUUCUACCCUAAAUGGGGAUACUUUGAUUAAGGUUUCCACUUACUAGUGACCAAAUUCCUCAAGAGAAAGCACUGUCUCUACUUUUUUCAAACCUCAUUCAUAGUAUUUGGGUUAGGAUUCUACACAAUAUGAGAGCUUUGUCAAAGUUGAGUAAAUCAACUUGGACCUCUUUUCUUCUUAUUAAAAUGCAACAAAUUUAAUUAAUAAACACCCUUUUAUUGAUACAGGUAUCCCCUGCUAUCUGAAUUCUCUCUUUUAAUGAAAAUUAUUUUCCUAUCCAAACUCUAGAACUGAAUUGAAGCUCUACUCUUCAGACCAAAAAAAGGUUGCAGAAUAUAAAUUUAGGCACUUUUUGGAGGGCUGGAGGUCUGUACACUGUUGUUAGGAAGAAACUGUCUACUCUCCAGCAGAGAUGAGAAAAAAAGGGGAAUUGUUACAAAAUUAAUAUGAGACCAGAUUAAAAGAUGUAUUGAAAGGAAAAGAGAGAUUAGAAUACCAGCCAGGAGGCAAUAAUAUUGAAAAAGUGAAGUUUUCAUAUCUUGUCAAAAGAAAAUGUUUACUUUUUCAAAGUUUUUUUAAUGUUGUAUAUUAUGAAUACAUUUGAAAUCCAAAUUAUUGUUCAGCCAUGUUGAAUAUAUUUGCUACUCUGACCAGUUUUUAGAAUGCUCUGAUGAAACUUGUGUGAUCUCCAAAUUUGUAUAGUGAAGAGAAAACCCUGAAAAUCUUUCACUUUGUCAUGCCUGCGCUGAGGGCAGAUGACUCACUGUAUGAAUUCAAGUUAAAUCACUUAACCUUUUUCUCUUAUUCAACCCAUCUGGGAAGCUGAAUACAAGCACUUCACUAUGAAACAGAUGGUGAGCCUAAGCUACAUUUUCCCAGAUUAAAAAAAGAAGAAUGUGUUAUAAGGACUAAAAGAACCAAAUGUGGAAAAAACGCAGGGAUUACACGGAAAAGAGCUAUAAGCUGGAUCAGACAUUUUCACCUGUAAAAAAUAAUGUAAUGCUUAAAAAAUAAGUCCUAGGAGAUGAUAUGGGGACAAAGUCAGUAAAACCUUUUCAUAAAGCACCAUAUGUGUAAUGUGGUCAUGAAUGUUGGUAUGUACAGUGAGUAAAAUGCUAUUUGUUUGCUGGUUCAUUUACCUGUAUGUCUCAGAAAACAAAUUUGGUUACUUUAGGAUACUUUUAGGUUAUCUAUUUGAUAACUGUAAAGCUAAAUGCUAAUAAAAACAUCUCGAGAAAAUUUAUGAGACCCAUCUAAAUUAUAGCUCCAGUGAAAUUUAACACUAGUUGGAAAACAAAAACUUUCCAAUAUGUUCUAGGAUAAUUGUUUUCUAAUCUUUUAUAUGCAUAUAAAUCACUUGGAAGUAAGGCAAGUUAUUGCCCCUUGGUAACUUUGGAUUUUAACUUUAUUAUGCAUAAAAUUAUAUUAAAUUCAAAUGUAUUUACAUGUGGAUAUUUAUAUCUGUCACAUUUUAUGGAAGAAGAAAUAUCUGUUGCAGCUAUUUUGAUAUUUUGAUGAAUAAAGUAGAACAUAUUAAAAAG
rnacentral:lncRNA from 1 species